rnacentral:rRNA from 1 species
GUCAUCGUCACCAUCAUCCGGUGUGACCUGCACCAGUUCUCGUCCGAUCACUGUAGUUAAGCAACGCGGAGCGUGGAUAGUACUUGGAUAGGUGACCAUCUGCGAACUUCUCCCACGUGAUACUGGCA